UACGUAGGGUGCAAGCGUUGUCCGGAAUUAUUGGGCGUAAAGAGCUCGUAGGCGGUCUGUCACGUCGGCUGUGAAAUCCCGAGGCUCAACCUCGGGUCUGCAGUCGAUACGGGCAAACUAGAGUAUUGCAGGGGAGACUGGAAUUCCUGGUGUAGCGGUGAAAUGCGCAGAUAUCAGGAAGAACACCCGUGGCGAAGGCGGUUCUCUGGGACGGUACUGACGCUGAGACGCGAAAGCGUGGGGAGCGAACAGG
rnacentral:rRNA from 1 species